UGGGGAAUAUUGGGCAAUGGGCGAAAGCCUGACCCAGCAACGCCGCGUGAAGUAUGAAGGCCUUCGGGUUGUAAACUUCUUUGAUCAGGGAAGAAACAAAUGACGGUACCUGAAAAACAAGCCACGGCUAACUACGUGCCAGCAGCCGCGGUAAUACGUAGGUGGCGAGCGUUAUCCGGAUUUACUGGGUGUAAAGGGCGUGCAGGCGGGCUGAUAAGUCAGAUGUGAAAUCCCCGAGCUUAACUCGGGAACUGCAUCUGAUACUGUUGGUCUUGAGUGCUGGAGAGGAUAGUGGAAUUCCUAGUGUAGCGGUAAAAUGCGCAGAUAUUAGGAGGAACACCAGUGGAGAAGGCGGCUAUCUGGACAGUAACUGACGCUGAGGCGCGAAAGCGUGGGUAGCAAACAGG
rnacentral:rRNA from 1 species